AAGUCGUAACAAGGUCUCCGUUGGUGAACCAGCGGAGGGAUCAUUACAGAGUUAUCUAACUCCCAAACCAUUGUGAACUUACCAUUUGUUGCCUCGGCAGAACCUACCCUGUACCUACCCGGGAACGAGCUACCCUGUAGCGCUGACCCGGUGUGGGCUACCCUGUAGCGGGCUGCCGGUGGACUACUAAACUCUGUUAUACUAUUGUAAUCUGAGCGUCUUAUUUUAAUAAGUCAAAACUUUCAACAACGGAUCUCUUGGUUCUG
rnacentral:misc_RNA from 1 species